rfam:Ferrimicrobium acidiphilum DSM 19497 strain T23 FEAC_contig000008, whole genome shotgun sequence.
GGAGGAAGGAGCUUUAGCUCUCUGGCCCUCCGAUAUCAACUUACGAGCAAGGGAUGUCGAACCGGCACAAGCUGCGUUGGUAACGUGCCAGGGUAGUGAGCGUUGUGUUAAAGGGCGGAGAUACCUCCGUCAUGU